UACGUAGGGGGCAAGCGUUGUCCGGAUUUAUUGGGCGUAAAGGGCGCGUAGGUGUCGUUACUUAGUUGGAGUGACAGUGGGUGGCUUAACUACCCAAGGCCUCUGAAAACUGGGGAACUUGAGGACCAGAGAGGGACAUAGAAUUCCGGGUGGAGUGGUGAAAUGCGUAGAUAUCCGGAGGAAUACCAAAGGCGAAGGCAGUGUCCUGGAGGGUGACUGACGCUGAGGCGCGAAAGCUAGGGAGCGAACGAGGA
rnacentral:rRNA from 1 species